rnacentral:rRNA from 1 species
ACGAACGCUGGCGGCGUGCUUAACACCUGCCAGUCGCACGCUGAAGCUCAGCUUUUGUUGGGUGGAUGAGUGGCGAACGGGUGAGUAACACGUGAGUAACCUGCCUCCUUCUUUGGGAUAACGCCCGGAAACGGGUGCUAAUACUGGAUAUUCACUGGUCUUCGCAUGGGGGUUGGUGGAAAGGGUUUUUCUGGUGGGGGAUGGGCUCGCGGCCUAUCAGCUUGUUGGUGGGGUGAUGGCCUACCAAGGCUUUGACGGGUCGCCGGCCUGAGAGGGUGACCGGUCACAUUGGGACUGAGAUACGGCCCAGACUCCUACGGGAGGCAGCAGUGGGGAAUAUUGCACAAUGGGCGCAAGCCUGAUGCAGCGACGCCGCGUGAGGGAUGGAGGCCUUCGGGUUGUGAACCUCUUUCGCUCAUGGUCAAGCCGCAACAAUGGUUGUGGUGAGGGUAGUGGGUAAAGAAGCGCCGGCUAACUACGUG